rnacentral:rRNA from 1 species
ACAGCAGUCGCCGCGGUAAUACGUAGGGGGCGAGCGUUGUCCGAAGUUACUGGGCGUAAAGCGCGCGUAGGCGGCUUCUUAAGUCUGAGGUGAAAGGUUCAACGCUUAACGUGAACAGUGCCUUGGAUACUGGGGAGCCUGAGUAUGGGAGAGGGCAGUGGAAUGGCUGGUGUAGCGGUGAAAUGCGUAGAUAUCAGUCGGAACACCCAUGGCGAAGGCAGCUGCCUGGCCUAAUACUGACGCUGAGGUGCGAAAGCGUGGGGAGCGAACAGGAUUAGAUACCCGGGUAGUCCAUGUCUCUUAUA